UCCGUAGGUGAACCUGCGGAGGGAUCAUUACCGAGCGAGGGCGUCAGGCCCGACCUCCGACCCUUUUGUGUCCUACACCCUGUUGCCUUGGGGGCGACCCGGCCGCCGCGUCGGGCCCCCCUGAGGACCCUCUAACCCUGCGUCCCCCUGCGUCUGAGUCGUGAGUAGAAAUUGAAUCAAAACUUUCAACAAUGGAUCUCUUGGUUCCGGCAUCGAUGAAGAACGCAGCGAAAUGCGAUAAGUAAUGUGAAUUGCAGAAUUCCGUGAAUCAUCGAAUCUUUGAACGCACAUUGCGCCCUCCGGUAUUCCGGAGGGCAUGCCUGUCCGAGCGUCAUCAACCCACCUCAAGCCUCGCUUGGUGUUGGGCGUCGCGGCCGCCGCGCGCCCUAAUGUCCCCGGCCGAGCCGGCCGUCCCGAAGCGUUGUGGCGUCUACUGUGCCGCUUCCGGGACCGGUCUGGCGGUGUGCCGUCAAACCCCCUUCAUCAAAGGUGGACCUCGGAUCAG
rnacentral:rRNA from 1 species